GCCGGGGUAGCUUAAAGGUAAAGCGAGCGUCCGUUAACCGCAGAGCUGAAGGUUCAAUUCCUUCCUCCGGCGCCA
rnacentral:tRNA from 1 species